AGAUGCAUCAUCCAUGCAAGUUUGGUUCAGGUAGGACUUAUAGUUACUAGGGAAUAAAAAUAUAGGUCAGAUCCAGCAUCUGAAGCAAGUCUGGUAGUGUCCAUCCCUAGAUGCAUCAUCCAUGCAAGUUUGGUUCAGGUAGGACUCAUAGUUACUUGGAAAUGAAAAUAUAGGUCAGAUCCAGCAUCCGAAGCAAGUCUGGUAGUGUCCAUCCAAAGAUGCAUCAUCCAUAUAAGUUUGGUUCAGGUAGGGCUUAUAGUUACUAUGGAAUGAAAAUAUAGGUCAGAUUCAGCAUCCGAAGCAAGUUUGGUGGUGUCCAUCCCUAGAUGCAUCAUCCAUGCAAUUUUGGUUUAGGUAGGGCUUAUAGUUACUUGGGAAUAAAAAUAUAGGUCAGAUCCAGCAUCAGAAGCAAGUCUGGUAGUGUCCAUCCCUAGAUGCAUCAUUCAUGUAAGUUUGGUUCAGGUAGGGCUUAUAGUUACUUGGGAAUAAAAUUAUAGGUCAGAUCCAGCAUCCGAAGCAAGUCUGGUAGUGUCCAUCCCUAGAUGCAUCAUCCAUGCCAGUUUGAUUCAGGUAGGGCUUAUAGUUACUUGGAAAUGAAAAUAUAGGUCAGAUCCAGCAUCCGAAGCAAGUCUGGUAGUGUCCAUCCAAAGAUGCAUCAUCCAUGUAAGUUUGGUUCAGGUAGGGCUUAUAGUUCCUUAGGAAUGGACCUGCUCUAAAAACUUUAACCUGGUCACUCAUCUGGAAAAUAUAGGUCAGAUCCAGCAUCCGAAGCAACUCUGGUAGUGUCCAUCCCUAGAUGCAUCAUCCAUGCAAGUUUGGUCCAAGUAGGGCUUAUAGUUCCUUAGGAAUGGAUCUGUUCCUAAAACUUUUACCUGGUCACUCGUCUUGAAAAUGUCAGUCAGAUCCAGCAUCCGAAGCAAGUCUGGUAGUGUUCAUCCCUAGAUGAACCAUAGCUCUCAUCAAUAUCUAUCAGCAUAUGAAGUUUGAUGAAAAUAUCUUGGAUAGUUUCUUUGAAACUUAGCUUUGAACAGAGCUAAACGCAAAGUGUGACGGAAGGACGGAAGGACAGAAGGACGGAAGGACGGAAGACGGACAUGACAAACACUAUAUGCCCCGGCCAUUUUCAUGGCGGGGCAUAAAAA